UACGAAGGGUGCGAGCGUUAUUCGGAAUCACUAGGGCGUAAAGGGUGUGUAGGCGGUGUAUUAAGUCUGUUGUUAAAUUCCUCGGCCUAACUGGGGACUCGCAACGGAUACUGGUAUGCUGGAGGUUGGAAGAGAGGAGUGGAAUUCUCGGAGUAGCGGUAAAAUGCGUAGAUCUCGAGAGGAACACCGAUUGCGAAGGCAGCUCCUUAGUCCAUACCUGACGCUGAAACACGAAAGCGUGGGGAGCAAACAGG
rnacentral:rRNA from 1 species